rnacentral:rRNA from 1 species
AAUAGCCUAACGGCUGAACCAGCAACUUGGAAGAAUGUAUAGCUAAGCUAAAUGUUUAUUAAAAAAAACAUAUUCGAUUUACUCGUAUAAAGUUCUAGGUAGAAUUAUGAUAAUGACAUUCUCUAUCUAUAAGUCUUGACCAACAUGCGUGCCAGCAGUCGCGGCAAGACGCUAAAGACUAGUGUUAUUCAUUUUAAUAGGUUUAAAGGGUACCUAGACGGUAAAUUAAGCCUUAACAGGAACUAAUUUAACUAGAGUUAAAUGUAAGGGUGCAUUAACGUACUAUUGAGUGUAGAGAUAAAAUUCUGUAAUACCAGAUUAUUGGCACGGGUUUAGGCGAAAGCAUCACUUUAUGUAAUAACUGACGUUGAGGGACGAAGGCUUUGAAUCACUAAAAGGAUUAGAGACCCUUGUAGUCUAAGCAGACAAUGAUGAAUGUCAUAGGUUAAAUAUUGUUUAGUCUAUAAAUGAAAGUGUAAGCAUUCCACCUCAAGAGUAAUUUGGCAACAUUGGAAUUGAAAUCAUUAGACCGUUUCUGAUACAAGUAGUGAAGUAUGUUGUUUAAUUAGAUGAUCCACAAAAAACCUUACCACAACUUGAAUAUUUUACAAGCGUUGCACGGCUGUCUUCAGUUGAUGUCGUGAGAUUUUGGUUAGUUCCAUUAAUUAGCGUAAACCCUUACUUUAUUUUUAUAUAAAGUAGUUCGCCACUAUAUUGGUAUAGAUAAAA